GUUGGGUAGGGGAGCGUUCUGUAAGCCUGUGAAGGUGUGUCGUGAGGCAUGCUGGAGGUAUCAGAAGUGCGAAUGCUGACAUAAGUAACGAUAAAGCGGGUGAAAAGCCCGCUCGCCGGAAGACCAAGGGUUCCUGUCCAACGUUAAUCGGGGCAGGGUGAGUCGACCCCUAAGGCGAGGCCGAAAGGCGUAGUCGAUGGGAAACGGGUUAAUAUUCCCGUACUUGGUGUUACUGCGAAGGGGGGACGGAGAAGGCUAUGUUGGCCGGGCGACGGUUGUCCCGGUUUAAGCGUGUAGGUGUGUGUUCCAGGUAAAUCCGGUUCACUUUAACACUGAGGCGUGACGACGAGGCACUACGGUGCUGAAGCAACAAAUGCCCUGCUUCCAGGAAAAGCCUCUAAGCAUCAGGUAACAUCAAAUCGUACCCCAAACCGACACAGGUGGUCAGGUAGAGAAUACCAAGGCGCUUGAGAGAACUCGGGUGAAGGAACUAGGCAAAAUGGUGCCGUAACUUCGGGAGAAGGCACGCUGACACGUAGGUGAAGUGAUUUACUCAUGGAGCUGAAGUCAGUCGAAGAUACCAGCUGGCUGCAACUGUUUAUUAAAAACACAGCACUGUGCAAACACGAAAGUGGACGUAUACGGUGUGACGCCUGCCCGGUGCCGGAAGGUUAAUUGAUGGGGUCAGCGCAAGCGAAGCUCCUGAUCGAAGCCCCGGUAAACGGCGGCCGUAACUAUAACGGUCCUAAGGUAGCGAAAUUCCUUGUCGGGUAAGUUCCGACCUGCACGAAUGGCGUAAUGAUGGCCAGGCUGUCUCCACCCGAGACUCAGUGAAAUUGAACUCGCUGUGAAGAUGCAGUGUACCCGCGGCAAGACGGAAAGACCCCGUGAACCUUUACUAUAGCUUGACACUGAACAUUGAGCCUUGAUGUGUAGGAUAGGUGGGAGGCUUUGAAGCGUGGACGCCAGUCUGCGUGGAGCCGACCUUGAAAUACCACCCUUUAAUGUUUGAUGUUCUAACGUGGACCCGUGAUCCGGGUUGCGGACAGUGUCUGGUGGGUAGUUUGACUGGGGCGGUCUCCUCCUAAAGAGUAACGGAGGAGCACGAAGGUUGGCUAAUCCUGGUCGGACAUCAGGAGGUUAGUGCAAUGGCAUAAGCCAGCUUGACUGCGAGCGUGACGGCGCGAGCAGGUGCGAAAGCAGGUCAUAGUGAUCCGGUGGUUCUGAAUGGAAGGGCCAUCGCUCAACGGAUAAAAGGUACUCCGGGGAUAACAGGCUGAUACCGCCCAAGAGUUCAUAUCGACGGCGGUGUUUGGCACCUCGAUGUCGGCUCAUCACAUCCUGGGGCUGAAGUAGGUCCCAAGGGUAUGGCUGUUCGCCAUUUAAAGUGGUACGCGAGCUGGGUUUAGAACGUCGUGAGACAGUUCGGUCCCUAUCUGCCGUGGGCGCUGGAGAACUGAGGGGGGCUGCUCCUAGUACGAGAGGACCGGAGUGGACGCAUCACUGGUGUUCGGGUUGUCAUGCCAAUGGCACUGCCCGGUAGCUAAAUGCGGAAGAGAUAAGUGCUGAAAGCAUCUAAGCACGAAACUUGCCCCGAGAUGAGUUCUCCCUGAGACUUAAAGUCUCCUGAAGGAACGUUGAAGACGACGACGUUGAUAGGCCGGGUGUGUAAGCGCAGCGAUGCGUUGAGCUAACCGGUACUAAUGAACCGUGAGGCUUAACCUUACAACGCCGAAG
rnacentral:rRNA from 1 species